UUGAGGUGAUGAUAAGAUUCAUGGUCUGUCAAUCCACUGACUAUCUUGUGAUGUUACACAUGAAAUCCCGACGGGUUCUGAUCAC
rnacentral:snoRNA from 1 species